GAUGGCAGUUGUGGUGUAAGGAUGUUGAAAGAGAUUUGCAUGCUUGAAAGUAUUCCUGCUUUAAUCAUUGAAAGCAUCUGGCAUAUUGGUCUCAUUACUGGGUCAACCGCUUUAAGUUUCUUCAAGAAGCCCUGAUGCAAGUAAAAACACUUUAAUCCAAGCCCAGCAGUAUCUGGUUGACCAUCUGAAGGU